AACAACUUGAUCUAAACUCUUCAAAAGUUCAAGCUCUGUUGUGUAGUGUCCUCAGAAUAACAUAAAGAAGUAUACUACAAAAAUAAAAUAAAUAAAAUAAGAAGUAACGAAAAUAAGAAGUAAAAAUAAAAUGUUAAAGAUAAAAAGAAAAGAAGAUCAAAAGUAAACGUGCAAAUUAUUAGAAAUCACGUUGAAAUAAUUAAAUAAUAAUAAUAUAAAAAAAGUUUCUCAAUUUUCACCAAGUUCAUACUUGCAUUCGAAAGGUCAUGUGCAUAAUUCUUUCAUCCCUAGGCUAGCUCUUCCUAACACAUGAAUUUCUCUAAAUUCCUUUUAUUCUUUUGUCUGUCUACAUAAUCCUCUCAAGGACAAGUAGUAUAUAAUUCCAAUUGGGUAUAAUUUUUAAUUUUGUAAAAGAAAACGAAUGAAAAUAAAGUUUAAUAGAAUCUUCAUAAUAAUACCUUAAAAUAAAUAUAAAAAACAAGAGAAAAGGCAAUUUAAUAAAAUUCACCCUAUCUUCAUGAAUCAACUGAAAUGAAUGCAUACUCAGUCCAUUAUAUCAACUAGGAAUGAUAUUUACUGCAUCCUGAGCACCACCAGCCUAGCCUGUUAUAUAAAAAGCAAGCAAACUUAUCAUUAGCAUGCUCUCUUCGUUAAUUGGGUAAGAAAAGGACAUUUGGAUACAAAGUUUAGCGAAGGAUAAAGAAGCAUGAGUACAAACCCUUGUGUGUAUGAAAUAGUACCCAGAAAAAUGCUGAAAUAAAAAAAAUAAGGUUAAAAUUAUAUAUCACCUGGAUAUUGCAAUAUGCUUAUGAGCAAAUAGAGCAAAUUUCAGAGCAGUAAGAACUUCAAGUUUUUUCAUUAAUUAAUUAAGGAAAAUAAAGGAGUGCAAAAGAUGAUAGCACAUGUACAAAUUGCAAUGCUUUACCAAAUUAUUACAUUGUAAGACUGCAAACUUGAAACCUUUCUAUUGAAGAGACACAGACAUUCUGCAUAUUAUGCACAAUCUCUGCCUGAAAUUACCAUGAAUGGUUCCAGCAAAGAAACCUCAAACUAUGGUUAAGGUUAUAACUACUGUUCAGACCACAAACCUACAAUAAUUAGUAUCUAAUGCUUCCCCAAAAAAACAAAAAGAAAAUACCUAAAAAAUGCUGCUACAUACUCUGAAUCCAAGUUUGCUUCUAUUUCUCUAUAUUUGCCGUUGAAAAUCUUAAUUAUAAUGCUUGUUCCGUCAACAUCUGCUCAAUAAAGAACAAUAAAGAAGUAAAAAUAAAGAACCCAUCACUUUCCAAAUCCAAAAAUUUUCUCACUUUCUCACCAACAAAACAUCCUUUUUCUUUCUCUCAAAACCUCAUCUUCCCACUUAAACUCACUCAAUUUCAACUCAAAUUCCACCAAAAUUUACCUUUAAGUUGAAAGCUAAUUCGCCGUCUUUCUCGCGUCGCCGACUCCUUGUAGUACAGUCUCCGUGCUCGAACUUGAAGACAGUAGCAGCAACUCGAACUUGAAUAACAUCGGCAGCAGCAGCUCGAAAAUCGUUAGUUUUAUUACCACCACCUACUUAGCAAAAAUAAAAGCUGGAGCUAAUUCCUCACAAAAAGAAAAAAGUAAAAACCCACAUCCAAUUUCACCAAACAUAAGUAAACCCAAAAAAAAUUUAAAGAAAUUAAGAAAGACAAUUGUUCACCAAAAUAAAAGAAAAUUAAAAGCUUACCAUAGAAUGUGAUAUAGCCAUGAAUUUGUCGAUUCUCCAAUAUUUGGGUUUGCUUGUCUUUGACAGAGGAGCUAAAAAUUAAUCAAACUCCACUUCGAACGGUUCUUCGAGAUUCAAGCCAUAACUUUGAAAUGCUUUAGGAUACAAUUUUUCGGCUUAAGGGAUUUGGGAGAGGAAACGAGUUUCGGUGAAUGAGAGAUUACAGUCAGGGUUUUAAGAGAUGAGAGGGAAAAUUUUGGAUGAGAGUGGGAAGAUGAAAAUUUUGUAGGCGGUUUCUUUCUUUUCAUCUUAAGGGAAAACGGUGUCGUAGUGCCUUCAUUAUGUGGGAAAUAAUAAGAAAUUGUAGGGUAAUAAUAAUUAACUAUUUUUUUGAAUUGCAAAAAAAUUUCUACAAUUAACGAUAGGUAAAGAACGUUGUUAAAACCUUUUCAGCAACAUGCAUGUUUGUACGUUGUCAAAAACUACUUCAUUUAACAACGGUCUAUGCAUGCAUGUUGUGAAAACAUUCUAAUAAUUGGCAACAAGUAGAAAAUUGUUGCUAUAUAUGUUUCAACAACGUGCAAUCUUGCAUGUUGCAAAAUGUAAUAAAAUGUAGAUAUUUAACAACUUACUUUUGUUGAACGUUGUGGUUUUUGUGUUUAACAACGUCCAAUUGACGCACGUUGUAAAAGUGAUGUUGUCUUAGCCUUUUUUUCUUGUAGUGUAUGGCCUCAGUAGAAAUCAUUGCGAGGGAAUUGGUUUGAUUUAGACAGAUUUUGGGGGUAGGAAAAACUAAACCUAUCUAGAACAAUGAAUUUGUAUUUUUAGGGGAGAUGGGGUACCUCACUGGUUUGUUGUGUGCGGUGUAUCUGAAAUUCGGGGGAUGUGAGAAGGGAAGAGGGAGUGGUAACAAUGCAGAAAGGACAGAACAAAAAAAAAAGUCCUUCCAAAUGAGCUCCACUCCUGUAAAACAGUGAAAUAGAGGUUAGAGGUGAAGCCAGGGUACCCCGGCGUUUACACUCCGACACUCAAGUUAGCAAACUCAAGCUUUUUAUGGCAAAGAGAGCUGGCCAGCCCUCUGUAAAUCAAGGUUUAAGGUUGAAGAAAACUUAUUUUGUGGAGUGUGAGUGAAUGAGAAAACAUGAUGCAGAAUGAAACCUAGGCCACUUUAUAUAUAGAGUACCUCAGCUGCCACGUGGCGUAUCCUUUUUGGCUAACGUCUUUUUACCUUUUGAUAAUUUUUGGGCCAUUAUGUUCAUGUUCACGGCGUAUCUCAUCCUUUGGAAACGUGGCGCGCGCUGGAGAGUGGUCUAGGGUACCCCUGCAGUGGCUGUCGGGUAGGCGGCUGAGGACCACUGUCCUUGGGACAGUGUCCUUCACUUUUGGCAGAGGUGGCAGACAGCUGUCCCCCCCUUUUAGUACGACAUUUUUUUAUUCCUAAUGCUGACAAAAUCGAAUAUUAUCCUUCAAGAUAUGGAGAUAUUUUCCAUGGCGGACUUUUUCAGAGGAUUCUCUUGAGUCGGACCCGUCGGGUACCUCAAGUUAUCUGGGGUACCCCGAUCUAUGCGGGGUACCUCGAGUUACUCUGGAGUUAUGCCGGGUACCUUAAAUUAUGCCGGGUAUCUUGAGUUAUUCCAGGUACCUUGAAUUAUGCUGGAGUUAUCUGGGUAUCUCGAAUUAUACAGGGUACCUUCAAUUAUGUUGGAGUUAUUCUGGGUACCUUGAAUUAUGCUGGAGUUAUUCCGGGUACCUUGAAUUAUGCUGGAGUUAUUCCGGGUACCUUGAAUUAUGCUGGAGUUAUUCCGGGUACCUCGAAUUAUACGGGGUACCCCAAUCUAUGCGGGGUACCUCGAGUUACUCUGGAGUUAUGCGGGGUACCUCUGAUCGUGCUGGAUACUUCUAAUCGUGCAGGGUACCUCUAAUCGUGUGGGGUACCUCGAAUCAUGCCGGGUACCUUGAAUUAUGCUGGAGUUAUUCUGGGUACCUCGAAUUAUACGGGAUACCUCAAUCUAUGCGGGGUACCUCGAGUUACUCUGGAGUUAUGCGGGGUACCUCUGAUCGUGCCGGAUACCUCUAAUCGUGCAGGGUACCUCGAAUCAUGCCGGGUACCUCAGAUUAUAUUGGAGUUAUUCCGGGUACCUCGAAUUAUGCUGAAGUUAUUCCCAGUAUCUCGAAUUAUACGAGGUACCCCGAUAUAUGCGGGGUACCUCGAGUUACUCUAGAGUUAUGUCGGGUACCUCUAAUUACACUGAAGUUAUUCAUUUUGUCGACACGUGGCGUUCUGCUAUCUUUCAUUUUUCCCCCAAACAGGGUUCAUGGUUUUCGUAUGAAUAUUAGCCAUUGCACUAUUACUGGAGCGAAGCUUUGGGGUUUAUUUCAAGGUUUGCAACUUGCUUGGAAUAUUGGGAUUCGACAGCUACAAUUUGAAGUUGCAAGUCGGUGCAUCACUGAGAUCUUGGCCACAAAUAACAGUCAUCCUAAUCCUUACUCUUCUCUUGUUCAGGGAAUUAAAAGACUCUUUAAUAGAGAUUGGCGGGUAUCCCUGUCGCAUUGCUAUCGGGAAACCAAUUUCACAGCUGAUCACCUCACCAAACAAGCUUUUGUUUUGCCUCUUAAGAUCCAUGUUUUUCCAACUCCUCCAACUGGAACUCAAGGGUAGUUUUUGCAUGAUGUAUCCCGGUUCGUGGAAAAACUAGGUCCUUUAUGUAUCAAAAAAAUAAAAAAAAAAUAAAAUAUUAUAUACGAGAACUCACAAGUACAAAUAUGAAUCACGAAAAAUUUACAUAAAUAGCCACUAAACUUUUUUAUUUUCAAAGUUAUCCCACUAAUAAUAAUUGAUAUUCUCACUUGUAUAAUUACAAGUGAAAAAAUCAACCACACCCCUAAAAUUUGUUCUUAUAGUUGCAUUACACCAUUUUGAUUUUAUAAAGGGAAAUUAUCACUGCACCACCAUUUUUUUGCCUUAUGUUCAUCCAACCACUAAAAAAUUCUAACAUGUUCUCUGCACCACAUUUUUUUAAAAAAUUUGUAUUAACUAACCACUUUUUAACUAACACCGUUAAAUAAUUUUAAAUGAAAUGAUAAUUUUACCCCUAAAUAAAUUAAAAGACCAUUUUAUUUUACAAAAAAUUUGAAAAAUAAGAAAAUAAUAAUAAUAAAAAUACCCCUAAAUUUAAUAAAAAAUAAAUUCCAAAAAUUAGAAUUUUUAUUUUUAAUAAAAAUCUAAAUAAAAAUUAUAAUUAUAAAAAUAAUUACAAAAUUUUGGGAUUUAAUAAAAAUCCCCUAAAUUAUUAAAAUUUCGGAAUUUAUUUUUUAAUAAAUAAAUUCAGUUAUUUUAAUAAAAUUUUGCAAAAUUAUAAUUUUUAAUAAAUAAAUUCAGUCAUUUUUAUUAAAAUUUUGCAAAAUUAUAAUUUUUUAAUAAAAAUAUUUAUUAAAAUUUUGCAAAAUUAUAAUUUUUUAAUAAAAAUAUUUAUUAAAAUUUUGCAAAUUUAUAAUUUUUUAAUAAAAAUAAUUAUUAAAAUUUUGCAAAAUCUAAAUUAAAUAAAAAUCAGCUGAGCACAUUUGUUUGAGAUUUAUUUUUUAUUAAAUUUAGGGGUAUUUUUAUAAUUAUUAUUUUCUUAUUUUUCUAAGUUUUUGUAAAAUAAAAUGGUCUUUUAAUUUAUUUAGGGGUAAAAUUAUCAUUUUAUUUAAAUUAUUUAACGGUGUUAGUUAAAAAGUGGCUAGUUAAUACAAAUUUAAAAAAAAAAGUGGUGCAGAGAACAUGUUAGAAUUAUUUGGCAGUUGGAUGAACAUAAGGCAAAAAAGAGGUGGUGCAGUGAUAAUUUUCAUUUUAUAAAUGAUCACAUAAUCCUCCUUUUGAUGAUUAUACGAUUCCGUUAUAAAAAUUCCAAAUUUGACUCUAAAUAAAGUUAUGUAAUGAAUAAAAACACAAUAUUAAAAUAAUCUAAUAUAUAAAUAAUACAAAAUUAUAAAUUAUAUUGAAUAUUAAAAAAUUAUUUUAAUAUUAUUAAUCUAUCAAAUAUGUUUUAAUAUUAAUAAAAUUUGUUUCACAGAUUAAUAAUAUUCAAAUAAUUUUUAUUUAACAUUCAUAAUAAGUUACAAAAUCUAUGUUAUAUAUUUUAUUUAUAUUUUUUUUAAUGUUUAUAUUAGUAUAAAUCUAUUAAUAAAAUUUGUUAGGACAUACUGAUAUUAGCUUAAUACUAAAAAUUAUUCUCAUGACAUAUAUGAAAUUAAGAGAACAUUUGCAAAUGGCUUUUUCCUUAAUUACAAUAGUAAUAUUAGUGAGACAAGUGUUGUGGACUGCCCAAAUUUCAAGCCAAAUAGGCUAACUAGACAAGUCUAAGUUGAGCUAGCUUGAUUUGACUCUAAAACGUUUCAUCUCUAGUACAUUCUUUACUAGUACAUAGUUGUGAAAUCUCUAGAUAUUGCUAAAGCAUUGUAGCAUGUGGCUUGAAUUGGGUAUACAAGAAAAGGCAUAUGCAAUAAGAGAACAUGUCCAAAUUCAUUAACGUAAAACUGAAAUAAAUAAUACCAAAAUAAAUUUGAAUAAGAUAAGCAAGGGUUUAUCAAUCCAAUUUGAAUGAAAUUAUUUAAACAUGAAAAACCUUUAGCCAAUGUUAGUGCCUUCAAGAAACUUAAGAAUCAAUUUACAUUGAUCAAAUUACAUGUGCUGUGUGUCCUAGCCAUUGUAACUCUGUUUGCCUGCAUCCAAGUACAAUAGACUACCAUUCAAAAAUUAAAAAAUAAAACAACAGAUUGAACUAGGAAAUGGAGAUCUGACCUUUAGUUUAGUUGAGUAUGCAAUAAUUCAGUUAAGCAAAUCCAUAAAAAUUAACAGAAUACAAUUCAAAGCAUUAAUUUUCGAAUUAGAUAAACAAAAUUAAAAUCUCAAUUGAGGUUAAAAUAGUGAUCUGACCAUUAACAAUAGCGUCUUGAGCUCGCGCACGAUUUUGUGAUAAAGUUUAAGCUUGAACUAGGACAUUGACUCACUAAUUUGGACGAGUGAAUGAAUCUAACCAUAAUCCCUUUAAUUUGGUGAAUUUACGACAGUCAAAGAUCGAAAUAAUGGAAGAAGACAAAAGUUUAACUAACAAGAGAUUCAGAGAAGUUGGAGCACGACGGGCGGUGCGUAUUCAAGCAGAGUGCCCAUUGGAGCAAAAGGUGGAGAUCUGAAGAGAGUCUUGUGGGCUUGUCGCGUUGCGGCAUGAUGGAUAUUCUGCGGCACGAUGUAACUUGUUAGGGUUUUGUAUGGUAUGGGUCUUAGAAUUUAACCAAUGAUGUUAAGGUUUCAUAUGGCAUAGGCCCUCGAAUUUGAGAGGUCGAAAUAGAGAAUUUUUAUAGGUAUGAAGAAGGAGAUGAUUAGAGAGAUGAGGUGGCUGGCCAUAGAAUUAGAACUUAGAGAAUUUUAGGUUUUGUUGAUUUUAGGGCUUUUUUUCUUGGUUUUUUUCUUUAUAUUGUCGUUUUUAUAAAUAUGUAAUAUGAUACUUUUAAUAUGAAAUAAACUACUAGUUUGGCCC
rnacentral:lncRNA from 1 species